AUUUUAUUUUUCAUAUAUACAUGUGAAUUAUUUUUGAUAUAUUUCAAAUUAAUAUUCCCGCUCUUAUUAUGAUUUUAAGUUUAUGAUGCUAGAUGGAGACACUAGUCCCUUUUCAAUAAGUACUGUAAUCUAACCUUACAAAUUAUCGCGUUGCGGGGAAUACGAGACGAAAGAAACGUGCACUUUUAUGGCAUCAAAAUUUAAGAAGACGAAUGGCAUUUGUUUCAUGAAAUAUUUGCAAAAUUCAGAAAUUAACUUAUUCGUGACAUAAGUAUAACGUAUAAUACAGGAAGUAAAAUUGAAACUCUCGAAGGUGGCCGCGAAUUUUCCUCGGUCGAUAACUCUAGGUGUAUAGACCACAGAGCGAUAAUAGACGCCGUGCUUAAUUGCAUUUUAUACUAUCGUAAAAUGCUACGAUACCAGUAUUGAAGACAAAAAUGAAAGCAGAGUAAAUGCGGUAAGCCGCAGGUUUCUGUAACGUAAUACCAUCGUAUACCGGGACAGAAGUUGAGAAAAAAAGAUGACCGCUGCUCCACACCACACCAUGCCGUUUAAAAAAACCGAUUGAGAAAACUUUCUUGAAAAAUAGUAAAUUUCCCUGGGAUAUUGAAAUAUUCUAUAUAAAAAAAACGUUAUAAAUGACGUUAUAAAUCGUGACUUAUCGUCAUGUUAUAUUUUCUGGUUAUUUUUUUGUGCCACUGGAAUUUCACAUUCGUUGAGUAUUAAGAUGAAGAAUGCAUUGUAUUUUAAGAAUAAAGAGAAACAAUAUUGAAAGAAUAGUUAUAAAAUAGUGUUUGAAUUUAAUAUUUUCAUAUUUUUUUUUAUACGAAAAAAAAGUUAUUUAUUUGUUAUUGAAUUUUAACGAAAAGCUCGCUUGCUGUUUCGAUAAAAGAAAGAUAUCAACGAACGAAAUAAAAAAACGUACAUCUUCGAUGGUGGUUUCUAUAUACCGCAAAUCCGCCGCUACAUGCAUACAUUUUCAUAAAAAUGCGGAGAUCCGCUUUCUUUCCUGUUAGCCGCGGGCGGAACGCGAUACGGCAUUGUGUGUUACACUCUCAUGUUAAUUCUGGCAAUAAAGAUGAGUGUUAAA